rnacentral:ncRNA from 1 species
UGCUCUGCAGGCAUGACAUAUAGUCCAUGCAAUUCAUAUGAUCAAUCGGUUUGUGGCAGCCAACGUUCAUACCGACGUUGCUUUUUGAUCCUUUCAUGCUGGCUUGGAUUGCUCAUCUACUUAUAAGGAACAAGACUUGGAGGUUUGACCUUCGUGAGACAGGUUAGUUUUACCCUAAUGAUGAAAUGUUAUUGCAAAAGUAAUUGAACUUGGUACGUGAGGAACUGUUCAUUCGGAUAAUUGGUGUUUGGACCUUCCUGAGCAGGCAAUGACCUGAAGCUAACCUCCGUUGGUCAUAGCUGAACGUCUCUAACUCAGAAUUCGUGCUAGAAUGCAACUUUUGCGGCCUUUCUCCGAUUUUUAGUAGAAUACGAAUAGACCUUCGAGUUCAAGAUUAUAUUGCGGGGGUAUUUGCGGAGAAAAAAGUCGCCUGUAUUUCUUUAUUGACAGCUUCAAAUAUCGUAAGAAAUAAAUCCAUUGCAGAUGACUUUAUUUGAACAAAGUAAUGAGAGUAGUAGAGUAGCCUUAUUGCUAAGAUCCCUUAGAUUAAGGUUAUUGUUGUAUUGAUAU